GUGCCAGCCGCCGCGGUAAUACAGAGGGGGCAAGCGUUAUUCGGAAUUAUUGGGCGUAAAGGGCGCGUAGGCGGCUUGGCAAGUGGAUGGUGAAAUCCCUCGGCUUAACCGAGGAACUGCCAUCCAGACUGCUUUGCUUGAGGCCGGGAGAGGUGAGUGGAAUUCCCAGUGUAGCGGUGAAAUGCGUAGAUAUUGGGAGGAACACCAGUGGCGAAGGCGGCUCACUGGACCGGUUCUGACGCUGAGGCGCGAAAGCGUGGGGAGCAAACGGGAUUAGAAACCCGUGUAGUCC
rnacentral:rRNA from 1 species